rnacentral:rRNA from 1 species
UACGUAGGGACCAAGCGUUGUUCGGAUUUACUGGGCGUAAAGGGCGCGUAGGCGGCGUGGUAAGUCACUUGUGAAAUCUCUGAGCUUAACUCAGAACGGCCAAGUGAUACUGCUGUGCUAGAGUGCAGAAGGGGCAAUCGGAAUUCUUGGUGUAGCGGUGAAAUGCGUAGAUAUCGUAAGGAAGACCAGUGGCGAAGGCGGGUCUCUGGACAGUUCCUGACGCUGAGGCACGAAGGCUAGGGGAGCAAACGGG